GCAAUACGGCAGGCCUAUCAUGCAAGUCGGACGGGAUCCAUUGAUAGCUUGCUAUCAAUGGUGAGAGUGGCGCACGGGGUGCGUAUCGCGUGAGCAACCUACCUCCCUCUCGGGGAUAUCCUCUCUCAAGAGAGAUUAUCACCGCAUAAAAUCUCCAGUUCUCAUGUGCUCUUGAUUAUAUAUUUAUAGGAUGGAGAUGGGCUCUCGUGAGAUUAUCUAUUUGGUAUGGUAACGGCUUAUCAAGGCGACAAUGUCUAUGGGCUCUGAGAGGAGAAUCCCCCACACUGGGACUGAGACACGGACCACACUCCUACGGGAGGCGCCACUAUGGAGUAUUGUUCUCUGGGCGGAAACCUGAGCCACCCAUGCGGCGUGCGCGAUGACUGCCCUAUGGGUUGUAAACUGCUUUUGUCCAGGAAUAAACCUAAAUACGUGUAGGGAGCUGAAUGUACUGGAAGAAUAAGGAUCGGCUAACUCCGUGCCAGCAGCCGCGGUAAUACGGAGGAUCCGAGCGUUAUCCGGAUUUAUUGGGUUUAAAGGGUGCGUAGGCGGCCUGUUAAGUCAGGGGUGAAAUACGGUGGCUCAACCAUCGCAGUGCCUUUGAUACUGAUGGGCUUGAAUCCAUUUGAAGUGGGCGGAAUAAGACAAGUAGCGGUGAAAUGCAUAGAUAUGUCUUAGAACUCCGAUUGCGAAGGCAGCUCACUAAGCUGGUAUUGACGCUGAUGCACGAAAGCGUGGGGAUCGAACAGGAUUAGAUACCCUGGUAGUCCACGCCCUAAACGAUGAUAACUCGAUGUUGGCGAUAGACAGCCAGCGUCUUAGCGAAAGCGUUAAGUUAUCCACCUGGGGAGUACGCCCGCAAGGGUGAAACUCAAAGGAAUUGACGGGGGCCCGCACAAGCGGAGGAGCAUGUGGUUUAAUUCGAUGAUACGCGAGGAACCUUACCCGGGCUUGAAAGUUAGUGAAGGUAGCAGAGACGCUACCGUCCUUCGGGACACGAAACUAGGUGCUGCAUGGCUGUCGUCAGCUCGUGCCGUGAGGUGUUGGGUUAAGUCCCGCAACGAGCGCAACCCCUAUGUUUAGUUGCCAGCAUGUCAUGGUGGGGACUCUAAACAGACUGCCUGCGCAAGCAGCGAGGAAGGUGGGGACGACGUCAAGUCAUCAUGGCCCUUACGUCCGGGGCUACACACGUGCUACAAUGGAUGGUACAGCGGGCAGCUAGCUGGCAACAGCAUGCUAAUCUCUAAAAGCCAUUCACAGUUCGGAUUGGGGUCUGCAACUCGACCCCAUGAAGUUGGAUUCGCUAGUAAUCGCGUAUCAGCAAUGACGCGGUGAAUACGUUCCCGGGCCUUGUACACACCGCCCGUCAAGCCAUGAAAGUUGGGGUACCUAAAGCAUGGACCGCAAGAGCGUGUCCAGGUAAAACCCG
rnacentral:rRNA from 1 species